ACUUGUUGAAAUUGGGUCCAAAAUAGGCUAAGAACUCGGAAACAUUGCGUUGAAGCACUAAAUGACUUAUCUAGUGUUGUUUAGGGUUAGAAUAUGAUAGAAUACAAUAAAUAUGAUUGAUUAAAAGUACUAGAGAUGCAUGAAGAGUGUUUAGAAGUGUGGAGAAAGACUUGUUGAAAUUGGGUCCCAAAUGGGCUAAGAACUCGGAAACAUUGAGUUGAAC
rnacentral:lncRNA from 1 species